rnacentral:rRNA from 1 species
GAUCCUGGCUCAGGAUGAACGCUAGCUACGGGCUUAACACAUGCAAGUCGAGGGGCAGCAUGGUCUUAGCUUGCUAAGGCCGAUGGCGACCGGCGCACGGGUGAGUAACGCGUAUCCAACCUGCCUUACACUCUUGGACAGCCUUCUGAAAGGGAGAUUAAUACAAGAUGUUAUCAUGAGUAAGCAUUUCGCAUGAUUAAGGUUACCGGUGUAAGAUGGGAUGCGUUCCAUAG